GACGAACGCUGGCGGCGUGCUUAACACAUGCAAGUCGAACGGAAAGGCCCUGCUUUUGUGGGGUGCUCGAGUGGCGAACGUGUGAGUAACACGUGAGUAACCUGCCCUUGACUUUGGGAUAACUUCAGGAAACUGGGGCUAAUACCGGAUAGGAGCUCCUGCUGCAUGGUGGGGUUUGGACAGUUUCGGCGGUUGGGGAUGGACUCGCGGCUUAUCAGCUUGUUGGUGGGGUAGUGGCUUACCAAGGCUUUGACGGGUAGCCGGCCUGAGAGGGUGACCGGCCACAUUGGGACUGAGAUACGGCCCAGACGCCUACGGGAGGCAGCAGUGGGGAAUAUUGCACAAUGGGCGGAAGCCUGAUGCAGCAACGCCGCGUGCGGGAUGACGGCCUUCGGGUUGUAAACCGCUUUCGCCUGUGACGAAGCGUGAGUGACGGUAAUGGGUAAAGAAGCACCGGCUAACUACGUG
rnacentral:rRNA from 1 species